GACAAAAAGAACAAGAAUUAGUGUUUUUGUGACUCUAGUGAACACCUUUCUGCGUAUUAGUCACUGAACAGAUCCAGUGGUGUGCCACUUGCUGUAGUGCAGACCUUUCUAUUUUGUCUCACACUUCUGUAAGUGGCUGACACCCCUGUCUGCCCUAUCUAGCUGGUUCUGAUUGAAAUGCUAAAUAACAAGCACCAGACAUGUUGGUCUGUGUCCUGUACUUGCCUUUUAUAAAAUAAAGCCUUUUCACUGCUUGUCUGUUUGGGAACAGAGGAUGAUUUCUCCCUUGUGUCUUGUGCUGUCCCCAGACGCUUGUGAAUAAAAUUUCAGGAUGUUACAAAAGUGGCUUAUUUCAUCUGCAUGGGAACUUGCAAGUUCACACCUGCAAUAGUAUAUACCAUCUUCCUCUUGACAAACGUAAUAAAUGAAACUAAAUUUUGAGUAUAUUUACCUUAAACAAGGUAAUAAGACACAGUGACUGUAAAGUUGAUUACCCUUGACUACAGUGGUUAAGAUUCAAAUUUCAUGAUGUGGUAUCUUAUCUCUGUUUAGAAUGUGGUGUCUUUCAGCAAGUGGCAAAUAAAGGCUUAGAAGUUUUUUAUACACCUAAAACUUAUUCUUAGAAUUUUUGUAUUCACUAAGUCCACCAUGCUGAUUCCACUGAAAUGUUUACGUUUGCACAAUUACUAGGAUUUAAUUUGAAAUAUGUAGAUUUACAGAAAUAAUUAAAAUUAGAAGUCCACUACUGAAACAAUAAAUAACAACCUCUUCAUGCAGGAAUAUUGGGCUGGUAGAAUUGCUCUCCUUUACCUAGAGGUCCACAUUCAGACAGUAAAUAACUGAGUUUCCAUUUCAGAGCAUGGAGUCUCUUAACUGUACUGAUGCAUAGAGGUGUUUUGAUAACCAGCUGUGUUAAUUGAAUAUGUGAGUCUCCAGUGAAAAUCCAGCUACCUCAGUUUCAUGCAUACUAAAAAUGGAGAACUUUUUUUUCUCACAGAAAUACAAAGGGACAAAUUAAUCUAUGAGAGGAACUUUACAGGAAGCUGCAGAGGAACCUUUAAACUGUCAGGAUAAUUAUUCAGUGCUCAGUUGUAUAGAUUUAUGCAGAAGUGAACUUGUGUUUGUCAAUGCAAGAAUAGAACUGUGAGAAUAUCAGUGCCCUGUUUAACUAUUACUGCUUGUUCAGAAAUGCCUUGGAUGUGUAUGUUUUACUUUAGGAAUUAUUUCUGUUUUGCCCUGAGGAUAGAAAAUAACUUCUGAUGUUAUUUUACUGAGUUUAUAAGUCUGUUUAUUUUUUAAUCAUGGAUAGUUGUUGAACACUUGAAUUUCUGGAACAAGCACGGACUAAGGUUUUAUUGAAUUAGCAGAAAAAAACCUAUACCAAGUACUUGCAUGCCUUCUUCUGUGUGAUGUGUUUAUACACGGGUGUGUAAUGAAGGUGUGUCUUGGCAGGUUUCUCUCAGCUUGUUCCAUGGACUGGCCCUGUCAGCUCCUGCAUGACCCUCUCCAAAUCGUGGCCUGUAUUUGCUGUCAGCCGCGCAUCGGAUACCCUGUGCUGAGGUGCUGGGUGUAAAGCCUUCGUAGAGGGCGCUGCCAAACUGCAAUGGGAUCAGGACCCAGCCAAGCAGGAGUUUCCAUGACACUCAGUGCCCUGUCACUGGCACAGGAGCAAAAGCCGGCUGUGCCACACGCAGAUGCCCAAGGGCCCCCGAGCGGCCUAGCCCUGGCUGUGCCCCCGAGCAGGCCUAGCCCUGGCUGUAGCCCCCGAGCGGCCUAGCCCCGGCUGUACCCUCGAGUAGGCCUAGCCCCGGCUGUACCACCGAGCCCCGACUGUAGCCCCGAGCAGGCCUAGCCCCGGCUGUAGCCCCGAGCAGGCCUAGCCCCGGCUGUACCCCCGAGUAGGCCUUGCUCUGGCGGGCUGGGCCCAGCCUCUGCCACCGCCAGCUGCCCUGAGCCGGCCUGGCGGCACAACUGCGCUCGGCUGCCCAAAUUCCCGGGGAACUGCAGUGUCCGAGCUACAGGGACUGGGAACUCGGGCCCGUUUAAACUUGCAGGUAUUGCAUAACAUCAGAAGAAAAAGUGAAAUCUGCAAAGUCAAAACUGAGCAGCUAAAAUUAGGAAGUACCCAAGUUAAUGUUGCACAUAUCACUGUACCAUGAACUCUGUAUUGCAUAUGCUAAUUGAUCUGGAGAAGGAAAUUCUCUUGGAAUUACUUCAAU